GUGUGUUAACUUGUCCCCUUGACCACACUGUGAGCUCCUUUUUUCUGUGGCACUAGCACUUGUCAUACAGGAAUAAUUCUGUUAAUACUUGGAAAGGAAAUGGGUAAAUACUACAUGUAUUAAAAAUGGUUGCUUUGCUAUUGUAUUAAGAGUCAAAAAGAAUGUUGUUGGAAAAUUAUUUGUUUUCAAAAUAGGGUAAAAUUAUUAAGCCAUGUACAAUGGUUUAAAACAAAAAAUGAUAGUUGGAGACAGAUGGUUUUGAUUCAAAAUCCAACUAUAAUGUAAUAGUCAAUGUCCUAGGAGAACCAUUUAACCUAAGUUUGUCACUUAAGAGAUUUAAUGACCCUAUAGGAUGGUAUUAUAGACUAAAUGUGUCCUCCUCAAAUUCCUAUCAUGAAGCCAUAAGCCCCCAACUCCAGUGUGGUGAUAUCUGGAGGUGGGACCUUUGGGAGGUAAUUAGACAUAGAAGAUGACAUGUGGGUAUUGUCCCAUGAUGGGAUCAGUAUACUUAUAAGAAGAGGAAGAGACCAGAGCUUGCUGUCUUUUCUCCCCAUUAGAGGAUAUAAGAAGAUGGCUGACUUCAAGGCAGGAAGAGAGUCCUCACCUGGAAACCUAGGUGUUUGCACGGAGAUCAUGUACCUUUCAGCCUCUAGAAUAGUCAAAAAUAUUUAUUGUUUAAGCUACCCAGGUUCUGAGAUUCUAAUAUAGAAGCCUGAAUGAAUUAAGACAAUGACCAGUAUCAUAGGAUAGCCAGGUUUUAAAUAAGAUACUGCAUAAGAAAAUGAUUUACGUUCUGUGUUGCAUUUAGCAAAUAUUGGCUACAAUUUUGAAGACCCAGUUCAUGAAGCUAUUGAAGAGGCAGAACAAGGACCAAAAAUCUAGGUUUAUUUACUCUUAGUUCAAUAGGUUUGGUUUGAGCAUAGCACUGCUUGGAUCUCCUAACCUUCCAGUGGGGCCAUGUAGGCCUAAAGAGGUCACAAUUCAUCCCUCUGACUGUAACUGGUCCUUUACAUUUUCUCAAUGUACUAUACAAAUUGUAAUGUUUUGUAAUUGUG
rnacentral:lncRNA from 1 species